GGGGAUUUAGCUCAGUGGUGCUGCUGCCUGCCUCGCAAGCAGAAGGUCCCGAGUUCGAUCCCUGGAACCCCCC
rnacentral:tRNA from 1 species